rnacentral:rRNA from 1 species
GAUGAACGCCGGCGGCGUGCCUAAUACAUGCAAGUCGAGCGAACGGACGAGAAGCUUGCUUUUCUGAUGUUAGCGGCGGACGGGUGAGUAACACGUGGAUAACCUACCUAUAAGACUGGGAUAACUUCGGGAAACCGGAGCUAAUACCGGAUAAUAUUUUGAACCGCAUGGUUCAAAAGUGAAAGACGGUCUUGCUGUCACUUAUAGAUGGAUCCGCGCUGCAUUAGCUAGUUGGUAAGGUAACGGCUUACCAAGGCAACGAUGCAUAGCCGACCUGAGAGGGUGAUCGGCCACACUGGAACUGAGACACGGUCCAGACUCCUACGGGAGGCAGCAGUAGGGAAUCUUCCGCAAUGGGCGAAAGCCUGACGGAGCAACGCCGCGUGAGUGAUGAAGGUCUUCGGAUUGUAAAACUCUGUUAUUAGGGAAGAACAUAUGUGUAAGUAACUGUGCACAUCUUGACGGUACCUAAUCAGAAAGCCACGGCUAACUACGUG